GACUGCUAUCGGAUUGAUACUAAGCCAUGCGAGUCUUUGUAGUAAUACAAGGCAGACGGCUCAGUAACACGUAGUCAACCUACCCUAUGGACAAGAAUAAUCUCGGGAAACUGGGCAUAAUUCUUGAUAGAUCAUAAUGCCUGGAAUGGUUUAUGGUUAAAAUGAUUCGUCGCCAUAGGGUGGGACUGCGGCCUAUCAGCUUGUUGGUGAGGUAAUGGCCCACCAAGGCGAUUACAGGUACGGGCUCUGAGAGGAGAAGCCCGGAGAUGGGUACUGAGACACGGACCCAGGCCCUAUGGGGCGCAGCAGGCGAGAAAACUUUGCAACGUGCGAAAGCACGACAAGGUUAAUCCGAGUGAUUUCUGCUAAAGAAAUCUUUUGCCAGUCAUAAAACCACUGGUGAAUAAGGGGUGGGCAAGUUCUGGUGUCAGCCGCCGCGGUAAAACCAGCACCUCAAGUGGUCAGGAUGAUUAUUGGGCCUAAAGCAUCCGUAGCCGGCUUUGUAAGUUUUCGGUUAAAUCCAUGUGCUCAACGCAUGGGCUGCCGAAAAUACUGCAUGGCUAGGGAGUGGGAGAGGUAGACGGUACUCAGUAGGAAGGGGUAAAAUCCUUUGAUCUAUUGAUGACCACCUGUGGCGAAGGCGGUCUACCAGAACACGUUCGACGGUGAGGGAUGAAAGCUGGGGGAGCAAACCGGAUUAGAUACCCGGGUAGUCCCAGCUGUAAACGAUGCAGACUCGAUGAUGCAUUGGCAUAAUAGCCAGUGCAGUGUCGCAGGGAAGCCGUUAAGUCUGCCGCCUGGGAAGUACGUACGCAAGUAUGAAACUUAAAGGAAUUGGCGGGGGAGCACCA
rnacentral:rRNA from 1 species